rnacentral:rRNA from 1 species
GAACGGGUGAGUAAUGUAUCGGAACGUGCCCAGUUGUGGGGGAUAACUGCUCGAAAGAGCAGCUAAUACCGCAUACGACCUGAGGGUGAAAGCGGGGGAUCGCAAGACCUCGCGCAAUUGGAGCGGCCGAUAUCAGAUUAGGUAGUUGGUGGGGUAAAGGCUCACCAAGCCGACGAUCUGUAGCUGGUCUGAGAGGACGACCAGCCACACUGGGACUGAGACACGGCCCAGACUCCUACGGGAGGCAGCAGUGGGGAAUUUUGGACAAUGGGCGCAAGCCUGAUCCAGCUAUGCCGCGUGCGGGAAGAAGGCCUUCGGGUUGUAAACCGCUUUUGUCAGGGAAGAAAAGGCUCCUGUUAAUACCGGGGGCUCAUGACGGUACCUGAAGAAUAAGCACCGGCUAACUACGUGCCAGCAGCCGCGGUAAUACGUAGGGUG